AUACAUGCAAGUCGAGCGGACAGAUGGGAGCUUGCUCCCUGAUGUUAGCGGCGGACGGGUGAGUAACACGUGGGUAACCUGCCUGUAAGACUGGGAUAACUCCGGGAAACCGGGGCUAAUACCGGAUGCUUGUUUGAACCGCAUGGUUCAAACAUAAAAGGUGGCUUCGGCUACCACUUACAGAUGGACCCGCGGCGCAUUAGCUAGUUGGUGAGGUAAUGGCUCACCAAGGCAACGAUGCGUAGCCGACCUGAGAGGGUGAUCGGCCACACUGGGACUGAGACACGGCCCAGACUCCUACGGGAGGCAGCAGUAGGGAAUCUUCCGCAAUGGACGAAAGUCUGACGGAGCAACGCCGCGUGAGUGAUGAAGGUUUUCGGAUCGUAAAGCUCUGUUGUUAGGGAAGAACAAGUACCGUUCGAAUAGGGCGGUACCUUGACGGUACCUAACCAGAAAGCCACGGCUAACUACGUGCCAGCAGCCGCGGUAAUACGUAGGUGGCAAGCGUUGUCCGGAAUUAUUGGGCGUAAAGGGCUCGCAGGCGGUUUCUUAAGUCUGAUGUGAAAGCCCCCGGCUCAACCGGGGAGGGUCAUUGGAAACUGGGGAACUUGAGUGCAGAAGAGGAGAGUGGAAUUCCACGUGUAGCGGUGAAAUGCGUAGAGAUGUGGAGGAACACCAGUGGCGAAGGCGACUCUCUGGUCUGUAACUGACGCUGAGGAGCGAAAGCGUGGGGAGCGAACAGGAUUAGAUACCCUGGUAGUCCACGCCGUAAACGAUGAGUGCUAAGUGUUAGGGGGUUUCCGCCCCUUAGUGCUGCAGCUAACGCAUUAAGCACUCCG
rnacentral:rRNA from 1 species